UACGAAGGGGGCUAGCGUUGUUCGGGUUUACUGGGCGUAAAGCGCGUGUGGGCGGGUCGUUAAGGUGGGGGUGAAAUCCUGGAGCUCAACUCCGCAACUGCCUUCAAAACUGGCGACCUGGACUCAAGCAGAGGCAAGUGGAAUUGCGAUUGUAGAGGUGAAAUUCGUAGAUAUUCGCAGGAUCACCAGCGGCGAAGGCGACUUGCUGGGCUUGUAGUGACGCUGAGACGCGAAAGCGUGGGGAGCAAACAGG
rnacentral:rRNA from 1 species